GCUGCCACAGAAGGUCAAGCACAACCUCCUCCUGGUGAACCCAUGCUGACUACUCCUGAUAUACAUAUAUACAUAUAUGUUGCAUGUGACUAGCAGAGCUUAUUCAAAUCAGCUAGUACUAAAACAGUCCUUCAGAGGCUGGGGUGAAAGAGUUUGCUUCUAUCAGGUGAAGAAAAAACUACAGAGAAUAAUCCAUGGAAAACAAGAGAAACCAGAGAUGUGUUUCCUCUGUGAAGUAAACCUUGAAGGAAUGACCUAACCUCUUCUCUGACAGUUUCACCUAUCAGUUCCUGCUAUGGAACAAGAAUAAAUGCAAAGGUUACAGUA